GUCUUUUUGAAAAUAAUUUAAAGUCUAAUCUGCUCAAUGAAUUUAAAAUUUAAAUAGCCGCAGUAAAUUAACUGUGCAAAGGUAGCAUAAUAAUUUGUUUUUUAAAUGAAAACUGGAAUGAAUGAUUGGACGAGAAAUUAACUGUCUCAUAAUUAAUUAAAUAGAAUUUAAUCUUUAAGUAAAAAAGCUUAAAUUUUAUUAAAGGACGAGAAGACCCUAUAGAAUUUUAUAAUUAUUAUUUAAAUAAAUAAAAAUAUUUUUUUUUAAAAUUUAUAAUUAUUAUAUUGGGGUGAUAGAAAAAUUUAAAUAAUUUUUUCAUUAUGAAUACAAAGAUUAUUGAUUUAUUGAACCUAAAUAAAAUUUAGAUUAAUAGAAUAAAUUACCUUAGGGAUAACAGCGUUAUUUUUUUUAAAAGUACAUAUUAAUAAAGAAGAUUGCGACCUCGAUGUUGGAUUAAAAUUAAUUUUAGGUGAAGAAGCUUAAAAAUUAAGUCUGUUCGACUUUUAAAUUUUUACA
rnacentral:rRNA from 1 species